rnacentral:rRNA from 1 species
AUACGGAGGGUGCAAGCGUUACUCGGAAUCACUGGGCGUAAAGCGCGCGCAGGCGGCUUGAUAAGUUGGAUGUGAAAGCCUACGGCUCAACCGUAGAACUGCAUCCAAAACUGUCAGGCUAGAGUGUGGGAGAGGAAGAUGGAAUUAGUUGUGUAGGGGUAAAAUCCGUGGAGAUAACUAGGAAUACCAAAAGCGAAGGCAAUCUUCUGGAACACUACUGACGCUGAGGCGCGUAGGCGUGGGGAGCAAACAGGAUUAGAUACCCCAGUAGUCC